CCUACGGGUUGCAGCAGUGGGGAAUCUUAGACAAUGGGCGCAAGCCUGAUCUAGCCAUGCCGCGUGAGCGAUGAAGGCCUUAGGGUUGUAAAGCUCUUUCAGGGGGGAAGAUAAUGACUGUACCCCCAGAAGAAGCCCCGGCUAACUCCGUGCCAGCAGCCGCGGUAAUACGGAGGGGGCUAGCGUUGUUCGGAAUUACUGGGCGUAAAGCGCACGUAGGCGGACUGGAAAGUCAGAGGUGAAAUCCCAGGGCUCAACCUUGGAACUGCCUUUGAAACUCCCGGUCUUGAGGUCGAGAGAGGUGAGUGGAAUUCCGAGUGUAGAGGUGAAAUUCGUAGAUAUUCGGAGGAACACCAGUGGCGAAGGCGGCUCACUGGCUCGAUACUGACGCUGAGGUGCGAAAGCGUGGGGAGCAAACAGGAUUAGAUACCCCAGUAGUC
rnacentral:rRNA from 1 species